GCGCUGUGCGUAUCAGUCAAAGGGGCUCGGGAAGCUGAUGGUGUGCGAGAGAAUAGAUUCCAAGAGUAGAAUGAUGUUGUAUCUUGGGACACUAGGAUCAGAGGAAGGGUAAAUUCCUUACUCCUCCAAAGAGCUUUCCUGUGAAGCUGGGGAAGUUAAUGCUCUACGGCGGAGUUCCCCUUCACAGGGAGCAGGGGGCAUUACCAGUGGGUGCGGGCAUCUACGACCAGUGCCCGG